rnacentral:rRNA from 1 species
GUGGGGAAUCUUGCGCAAUGCGCGAAAGCGUGACGCAGCAACGCCGCGUGUGGGAAGACGGCCUUCGGGUUGUAAACCACUUUCAGUUGGGACGAAGGUUCUGCCGUUAAUAGCGGUAUGGACUGACGGUACCUUCACAAGAAGCCCCGGCUAACUACGUGCCAGCAGCCGCGGUAAUACGUAGGGGGCAAGCGUUGUCCGGAAUCAUUGGGCGUAAAGCGCGUGUAGGCGGGUCGGUAAGUCUGCUCUGAAAGUCCAAGGCUCAACCUUGGGAUGCGGGUGGAUACUGCCGACCUCGAGUCCGGAAGAGGCGAGUGGAAUUCCUGGUGUAGCGGUGAAAUGCGCAGAUAUCAGGAGGAACACCGAUGGCGAAGGCAGCUCGCUGGGACGUGACUGACGCUGAGACGCGAAAGCGUGGGGAGCAAACAGG